rnacentral:rRNA from 1 species
UACGAAGGGUGCAAGCGUUACUCGGAAUUACUGGGUGUAAAGCGUGCGUAGGUGGUUUGUUAAGUCUGUUGUGAAAGCCCCGGGCUCAACCUGGGAAUGGCAAUGGAUACUGGCAAGCUAGAGUGCGGUAGAGGGUAGUGGAAUUCCCGGUGUAGCGGUGAAAUGCGUAGAGAUCGGGAGGAACACCAGUGGCGAAGGCGGCUACCUGGACCAGCACUGACACUGAGGCACGAAAGCGUGGGGAGCAAACGGG